rnacentral:lncRNA from 1 species
GUAGAACAGAAAUACUCAUUUGCAGAGCAGCCUACAAUCUUUCUGGAAAUAAUAUACAGUUACACUCUGCAAAGGAGAUGUAUUAUCAUUAUGUUGAUGAGAAGAUCAAAUAUUUCUUUUUCUUCCAUAGUCAAAAUAUUGUUAAUGGAUGAUUUUCUGCCUGGAAGGACAUUUUAUUGAAAAUAUGUGCUGGGCCCACCACGCAUUGACUGAAUAAGAUGAAAACAAAUGAAAAAAGAAACCUGUAUGAGACAACUUCAUGGGGAAAAAAAUAGAAUCAGAAAUUGAGCAGUGGCUGUGCGUAGCAACUGCACAUGGGAAGAGACUCUGCAGGUAGCGCUGAUGACACCUUUCUGCUCUUCUGUCUGUACUCAAACUGAGCAAGGGUUUCCACAGACUUUUGAAGGCAUUGUCACCUACAGAGUGGUUUGCAUAGGCAGAGCAGUCUUGAAUCUGCAUCAAUCUCAUAGAUACUACAUGACUAGUUCCUUUCUGAACCACAAGAUCCUUUCCGAUCUUUC